GAUGAACGCUGGCGGCGUGCCUAAUACAUGCAAGUCGAGCGAAUGGAUUAAGAGCUUGCUCUUAUGAAGUUAGCGGCGGACGGGUGAGUAACACGUGGGUAACCUGCCCAUAAGACUGGGAUAACUCCGGGAAACCGGGGCUAAUACCGGAUAACAUUUUGAACCGCAUGGUUCGAAAUUGAAAGGCGGCUUCGGCUGUCACUUAUGGAUGGACCCGCGUCGCAUUAGCUAGUUGGUGAGGUAACGGCUCACCAAGGCAACGAUGCGUAGCCGACCUGAGAGGGUGAUCGGCCACACUGGGACGGAGACACGGCCCAGACUCCUACGGGAGGCAGCAGUAGGGUAUCUUCCGCAAUGGACGAAAGUCUGACGGAGCAACGCCGCGUGAGUGAUGAAGGCUUUCGGGUCGUAAAACUCUGCUGUUAGGGAAGAACAAGUGCUAGUUGAAUAAGCUGGCACCUUGACGGUACCUAACCAGAAAGCCACGGCUAACUACGUGCCAGCCGCCGCGGUAA
rnacentral:rRNA from 1 species